rnacentral:misc_RNA from 1 species
GUCGAGAUUCAUGCAAGUAUGGCUGCAAGAUUAGUUUGAAUUGUAAGUCAUGAGAGAUCCAAUACAAAAAAGAACUUGGAAUGUAAAAGACUGUUGUACAUAGUAACUGAAACAAUAGUCCAAAGUUCCACAGGCAAAGUUGACACAGGUGAAGAUUUCAAGAUUAUUGUAUACUAGGAAUCAUAACAACAGAUCAUUCAAGGAACAAGUUUAAUUAUCACUGACAUAAUAAGA